rnacentral:piRNA from 1 species
UAGACACAUGGCCAAUUGUGAUGCUCCC